UACGGAAGGGGCUAGCGUUGUUCGGAAUUACUGGGCGGAAAGAGCGCGUAGGCGGCUUACCAAGUUGGGGGUGAAAUCCCGGAGCUCAACUCCGGAACUGCCUUCAAAACUGGUAGGCUCGAGUCCGGAAGAGGGGCGUGGAAUUCCCAGUGUAGAGGUGAAAUUCGUAGAUAUUGGGAAGAACCCCGGUGGCGAAGGCGGCGCCCUGGUCCGGUACUGACGCUGAGGCGAGAAAGCGUGGGGAGCAAACAGG
rnacentral:rRNA from 1 species